GUAGUGGUGGUUCAUUGGUAGAAUUCUUGCCUUCCACGCAGGAGAUCUGGGUUCUCUUCCCAGCCAAUGCA
rnacentral:tRNA from 1 species